rnacentral:rRNA from 1 species
AGCAUAUCAAUAAGCGGAGGAAAAGAAACCAACAGGGAUUGCCCUAGUAACGGCGAGUGAAGCGGCAACAGCUCAAAUUUGAAAUCUGGCGCAAGCCCGAGUUGUAAUUUGUAGAGGAUGUUUCUGGCGACGCGCCUUCCGAGUUCCCUGGAACGGGACGCCAUAGAGGGUGAGAGCCCCGUACGGUUGGAUGCCUAGCCUCUGUGAAACUCCUUCGACGAGUCGAGUAGUUUGGGAAUGCUGCUCUAAAUGGGAGGUAUACGUCUUCUAAAGCUAAAUACCGGCCAGAGACCGAUAGCGCACAAGUAGAGUGAUCGAAAGAUGAAAAGCACUUUGAAAAGAGGGUUAAAAAGUACGUGAAAUUGUUGAAAGGGAAGCGUUCAUGACCAGACUUGGGCAGGUUGAUCAUCCGUGGUUCUCCGCGGUGCACUCUGCCUGCCCAGGCCAGCAUCAGUUCGCUCCGGGGGAUAAAGGCUCUGGGAAUGUGGCUCCUCCGGGAGUGUUAUAGCCCACUGCGUAAUACCCUGGGGUGGACUGAGGUUCGCGCUCUGCAAGGAUGCUGGCGUAAUGGUCAUCAACGACCCGUCUUGAAACACGGACCAAGGAGUCGUCUUCGUAUGCGAGUGUUCGGGUGUCAAACCCCUACGCGUAAUGAAAGUGAACGUAGGAGAGAGCUUCGGCGCAUCUCCGACCGAUCCUGAUGUUCUCGGAUGGAUUUGAGUAAGAGCAUACGGGGCCGGACCCGAAAGAAGGUGAACUAUGCCUGUAUAGGGUGAAGCCAGAGGAAACUCUGGUGGAGGCUCGCAGCGGUUCUGACGUGCAAAUCGAUCGUCAAAUAUGGGCAUGGGGGCGAAAGACUAAUCGAACCUUCUAGUAGCUGGUUUCCGCCG